rnacentral:rRNA from 1 species
UGGGGAAUAUUGCACAAUGGGCGCAAGCCUGAUGCAGCCAUGCCGCGUGUAUGAAGAAGGCCUUCGGGUUGUAAAGUACUUUCAGUCGGGAGGAAGGUGGUAAGGUUAAUAACCUUGGCAAUUGACGUUACCGACAGAAGAAGCACCGGCUAACUCCGUGCCAGCAGCCGCGGUAAUACGGAGGGUGCAAGCGUUAAUCGGAAUUACUGGGCGUAAAGCGCACGCAGGCGGUUGAUUGAGUCAGAUGUGAAAUCCCCGGGCUUAACCCGGGAAUUGCAUCUGAUAAUGGUCAGCUAGAGUCUUGUAGAGGGGGGUAGAAUUCCAUGUGUAGCGGUGACAUGCGUAGAGAUGUGGAGGAAUACCGGUGGCGAAGGCGGCCCCCGGGACAAAGACUGACGCUCAGGUGCGAAAGCGUGGGGAGCAAACAGG